rnacentral:rRNA from 1 species
AGCCAGACUCCUACGGGAGGCAGCAGUGAGGAGUAUUGGUCAAUGGACGAGAGUCUGAACCAGCCAAGUAGCGUGAAGGAUGACUGCCCUAUGGGUUGUAAACUUCUUUUAUAUGGGAAUAAAACAGGGUAUGCAUACCCUCUUGUAUGUACCAUAUGAAUAAGGAUCGGCUAACUCCGUGCCAGCAGCCGCGGUAAUACGGAGGAUCCGAGCGUUAUCCGGAUUUAUUGGGUUUAAAGGGAGCGUAGGUGGAUUGUUAAGCCAGUUGUGAAAGUUUGCGGCUCAACCGUAAAAUUGCAGUUGAAACUGGCAGUCUUGAGUACAGUAGAGGUGGGCGGAAUUCGUGGUGUAGCGGUGAAAUGCUUAGAUAUAACUUAGAACCCCGAUAGCGAAGGCAGCUUACCAGACUGUUACUGACGCUGAAGCACGAGAGCGUGGGUAGCGAACAGGAUUAGAUACCCUCGUA